AUUGAACGCUGGCGGCAUGCCUUACACAUGCAAGUCGAACGGCAGCACGGGGCAACCUGGUGGCGAGUGGCGAACGGGUGAGUAAUGUAUCGGAACGUGCCAUUGAGUGGGGGAUAACGUAGCGAAAGUUACGCUAAUACCGCAUAUACCCUGAGGGGGAAAGCAGGGGAUCGCAAGACCUUGUGCUCUUUGAGCGGCCGAUAUCAGAUUAGCUAGUUGGUGAGGUAAAGGCUCACCAAGGCGACGAUCUGUAGCGGGUCUGAGAGGAUGAUCCGCCACACUGGGACUGAGACACGGCCCAGACUCCUACGGGAGGCAGCAGUGGGGAAUUUUGGACAAUGGGCGCAAGCCUGAUCCAGCCAUGCCGCGUGAGUGAAGAAGGCCUUCGGGUUGUAAAGCUCUUUCGGCCGGGAAGAAAUCGUACAGGUUAAUACCCUGUGUGGAUGACGGCACCGGAAUAAGAAGCACCGGCUAACUACGUGCCAGCCGCCGCGGUAAAAC
rnacentral:rRNA from 1 species